AACGAACGCUGGCGGCAUGCCUAACACAUGCAAGUCGAACGAGACCUUCGGGUCUAGUGGCGCACGGGUGCGUAACGCGUGGGAACCUGCCCUUAGGUUCGGAAUAACUCCCCGAAAGGGGUGCUAAUACCGGAUAAUGUCUUCGGACCAAAGAUUUAUCGCCUUUGGAUGGGCCCGCGUUGGAUUAGCUAGUUGGUAGGGUAAAAGCCUACCAAGGCGACGAUCCAUAGCUGGUCUGAGAGGAUGAUCAGCCACACUGGGACUGAGACACGGCCCAGAAUCCUACGGGAGGCAGCAGUGGGGAAUAUUGGACAGUGGGCGAAAGCCUGAUCCAGCAAUGCCGCGUGAGUGAUGAAGGCCUUAGGGUUGUAAAGCUCUUUUACCCGGGAUGAUAAUGACAGUACCGGGAGAAUAAGCACCGGCUAACUCCGUG
rnacentral:rRNA from 1 species